GGGGGGGCAAGCGUUGUUCGGAAUUACUGGGCGUAAAGAGCUCGUAGGCGGCCAACUAAGUCGGACGUGAAAUCCCUCGGCUCAACCGAGGAACUGCGUCCGAUACUGGAUGGCUUGAGUCCGGGAGAGGGAUGUGGAAUUCCAGGUGUAGCGGUGAAAUGCGUAGAUAUCUGGAGGAACACCGGUGGCGAAGGCGGCAUCCUGGACCGGCACUGACGCUGAGGAGCGAAAGCCAGGGGAGCAAACGGGGAUUAGAUACCCCGGUAGUCCUGGCCCUAAACGAUGAAUGCUUGGUGUGGCGGGUAUCGAUCCCCUGCCGUGCCGAAGCUAACGCGAUAAGCAUUCCGCCUGGGGAUACGGUCGCAAGGCUG
rnacentral:rRNA from 1 species